rnacentral:lncRNA from 1 species
AUAAGUGAUAGUUUUGGUAUAAAUAUUAAAAAAUAAUAGUGACAAAAGUUUGAUUUUUAAACAAAUAGUGAACAAAUUAAGGGUAAAAUAAUAAUUUCAUAUUUUUGAAGUAAAAUAAAAAAAAUGCUAAAUUGACGGAAAUUAGCAAAAAAUAAUGGUGAGGGUAUUUAUGAAAAAAAUAUUGUAUUUAAAGGGGGUAUUAUUUUAAAAUUUUGAAGGAUAUUUAUGAUAUUUCAUAAUUUUGUGAGGGUACAAAUGAAAUUAACCCUUGAAUUUAUUUGUCUCCUCUUAAUACUUACUGGUAUCGUUUGGUUCGGGGAUAAGCAAAAAGUUGUUAUUCUAGGAAUAGGUAUAAAUUGAGUUAUAAGCGAGAAUUAGAUCAAUUUUGCGUUUGGAUGAAAAUUGGGUUAUUCCUGAGAAUAAGAAAAAUAGCGUUUGGUUAGGUAAGAUGGAAUAAGAAGAAUAACGGGAAGUUAUAAGUAAAAAAUAAUGAUAUUACCCUCUCAUUAUAUUUGAAUUUAAAAGUUUAAAUUUUAAAUUUAUAUUUUUAAUUUAAAAUUUUAACUUUUAAAUUUCAAAAUUUUAAAUUAAAAUUUAAAAUUUAAAAUCUCAAAUUUUAAAUUCAAAAUUUUAAAUUUUAAAUUUCAAACUUUAAAUUU